GACGUAGGGCGCGAGCGUUGUCCGGAUUUAUUGGGCGUAAAGAGCUCGUAGGCGGCUUGUUGCGUCGACUGUGAAAACCCGCGGCUUAACUGCGGGCUUGCAGUUGAUACGGGCAGACUAGAGUUCGGUAGGGGAGAUCGGAAUUCCUGGUGUAGCGGUGAAAUGCGCAGAUAUCAGGAGGAACACCGGUGGCGAAGGCGGAUCUCUGGGCCGAUACUGACGCUGAGGAGCGAAAGCGUGGGGAGCGAACAGG
rnacentral:rRNA from 1 species